rnacentral:rRNA from 1 species
UACGUAGGGGGCAAGCGUUGUCCGGAAUCAUUGGGCGUAAAGAGCGUGUAGGCGGCCCGAUAAGUCCGCUGUGAAAGUCCAGGGCUCAACCCUGGAAUGCCAGUGGAAACUGUCGGGCUGGAGUCCGGAAGAGGCGAGUGGAAUUCCUGGUGUAGCGGUGAAAUGCGCAGAUAUCAGGAGGAACACCAAUGGCGAAGGCAGCUCGCUGGGACGGUACUGACGCUGAGACGCGAAAGCGUGGGAGCAAACAGG